rfam:Myotis davidii contig138494, whole genome shotgun sequence.
AGUGGUUCUUGGGUGACGUGCCCCAGAAUCAGGCUCCCUCCUCUCUAAUUCCAGGUGCGUCACCCAUGAGCAUCU